UUUCUUUGUUUGAAUGCCCAUAUCUGUUGCAUUUGAGCAAGUCCUUACUUCCUGCAGUCUUGGACUUUGCUAUUCUGCUGCUUUGCAGUGUUUUCCAUUGUGUUCCAGCUGGGAAUGUGUCAAAUAAAAUGUGAGGAUGAGAUGUAGAUGACACUGCUGUGCAUUUAUUUUAAACUGCUUAAAACUACUCAACUCAGUCAUAGUUAAUCACACAAUCCCUGGAUGACUGUGAGGGACCUCUGGAUGACAUCUAGUUUAAAAUCUCUGCUCAAGCAGGCCCAUCUGGACUCAUACCCAUGGGCUACAUCUCUGGUCCAGGGUCUGUUCCUGUGAAAGUCUCUCCAUGGGCUGUGGUCUCCUUCAGGCUACAUCCACCUGCUGCACUAUGGGCUCCACCACAGACUGCAUGUGGAGAUCUGCUCUGCAUGGUGCCCCAUAGGCUGCAGGAGGAAUUCUACUCUGUGCCUGCAGCAACUCCUGCCAUCCUUCUGGCCUGACCAUGGUGUCUGGGUUGCUGUUUGUCUCCACAGUUUCUCAUUCGUCUAUCCCAGCUGCUUUUGUACAGAAGUUAUUGCGGAGUUUUUUUUUAGUUGUUUAUCUCCUUUCACAGAGGCACAACUGGCAUUGUUCAUUGGCUCAGCUUUGGCCAGGGGUAGGUCCUUUUUGGAACCAGCUGGAAAGGAAUUUCUGAUAUGUGGCAGCUUCUGGGCUCUGCUAAUAGAAGCCAAGCCUGCAACUCUCAUACUAUCAAAAUAAUGCAAUUUAAACUCAGAACAUCUGAUUAAUCUGCCACUUCCUCCAGUUUUGUGUCAUCUGCAGACUUAAUGGGAGUAUGUUCAAUUCCAUUGUCCAGAUUAUUCAUGAAGGUGUUACACAGGACGGGAUUUAGUAUUGACCUGUAUGGAUACUCCACUAGUUAAUGAUCUCCAGUAAGAAUUUGCACAAACUACUAUCUUCUGGCCAUGUAGCCUGUUCUUGGUCCACCUGACUAUCUACACAUUCUAUCCGUUCUUCAAGUUUCUCUAUGAGGAUCUUAUGGAGGUCAGAGUCAAAAUAUUUAGUAAGAUAACAUUUCUUAAAAAUUAUCAGGUUGGCCAGGCAUGAGCAUCUUGCACUACGGCUUGUACUCCCUGCUAUGUGCUUCAGAUGAUAACAUUUGAAAUGAAAUGUAAAUAUGGCAAGCUCAAGUUAUAGCAAGUAAUUCACAUAUUUUGAUACAGUGGCUGAAUGCAGUCCUGUAAACAGUGAAAAAUAUGUAGUUCUGUUUUACACUUCGAUACAGGAAUUUGAGAAUAGAUUUCAAGAUGUCAAAAGAAAUUGUCACUUCUUUGUAUAUUUCAACUCCAUUUCAGUCAACAUAAAUACAUUA